CACACGUCAUACAAUGGCCGGUACAGAGGGUAGCCAACCCGCGAGGGGGAGCCAAUCCCACAAAGCCGGUCGUAGUCCGGAUCGCAGUCUGCAACUCGACUGCGUGAAGUCGGAAUCGCUAGUAAUCGCGGAUCAGCAUGUCGCGGUGAAUACGUUCCCGGGUCUU
rnacentral:rRNA from 1 species